UAGAGUUUGAUCCUGGCUCAGAUUGAACGCUGGCGGCAGGCCUAACACAUGCAAGUCGAACGGUAGCACAGAGAGCUUGCUCUCGGGUGACGAGUGGCGGACGGGUGAGUAAUGUCUGGGAAACUGCCCGAUGGAGGGGGAUAACUACUGGAAACGGUAGCUAAUACCGCAUAACGUCUUCGGACCAAAGUGGGGGACCUUCGGGCCUCACACCAUCGGAUGUGCCCAGAUGGGAUUAGCUAGUAGGUGGGGUAAUGGCUCACCUAGGCGACGAUCCCUAGCUGGUCUGAGAGGAUGACCAGCCACACUGGAACUGAGACACGGUCCAGACUCCUACGGGAGGCAGCAGUGGGGAAUAUUGCACAAUGGGCGCAAGCCUGAUGCAGCCAUGCCGCGUGUAUGAAGAAGGCCUUCGGGUUUUGGAGUACUUUCAGCGGGGAGGAAGGCG
rnacentral:rRNA from 1 species